ensembl:misc_RNA Metazoa_SRP Metazoan signal recognition particle RNA
GCUGGGUGUGGUGGCAUGCACCUGUAAUCCCAGCUACUCAGGAGGCUGAGGCAGGAGAAUCGCUUGAACCCAGGAGGCGGAGGUUGCAGUGAGCCGAGAUUGUGCCACUGCACUCCAGCCUGGGUGACAGAGCGAGACUCAGUCUCAA